GUCGCACAAGGCCGUGAAACCUUUUACAAACCGAUGGGCAUUUUACGACAAAAUACUGGAACUUUAACGGAAAGACAACCUUAAAAUGGAGGAUUUUAAAGCAGGAUAAAGCGGUAGAAGAUGAAUGGAAUUACUGUUUACACCUGUGUCGUCAUCAGGAAGGAGAGGAGGUCAGCUGAUGGAGGCCAACACCUGCAGACCCGUCACUCAUUUAUAAAGCAACUCCCAGAUCCAUAAUUACUGGAUCCUCUCUGAGAUGCAAAGCCUUCAACAUGCAGUAGCAGCAACACACAGAUAGAAAUAAGGGAGAAGAGAUGACAUUAUCAGAGACAAGCACAUGUUUGCACAUGAUUGAACAAACACACACGAGGAGGAACCCCUGUCCAAAAACCCACAAGACGGGCUCGCCUGUGUGACGAUAGCGAGCCAGAUGGACCGGGGCAGGUGAUAACUGCGCCGGUCGGUGUGUUGAUGGGUCAUGUUGGGAAGCUACACCGCUCCAUCCCGAUAUGAGCGUUUUCCCUGCCACG